rnacentral:rRNA from 1 species
UAGGGAAUCUUCCGCAAUGGGCGAAAGCCUGACGGAGCAACGCCGCGUGAGUGAUGAAGGUCUUCGGAUCGUAAAACUCUGUUAUUAGGGAAGAACAAAUGUGUAAGUAACUAUGCACGUCUUGACGGUACCUAAUCAGAAAGCCACGGCUAACUACGUGCCAGCAGCCGCGGUAAUACGUAGGUGGCAAGCGUUAUCCGGAAUUAUUGGGCGUAAAGCGCGCGUAGGCGGUUUUUUAAGUCUGAUGUGAAAGCCCACGGCUCAACCGUGGAGGGUCAUUGGAAACUGGAAAACUUGGGUGCAGAAGAGGAAAGUGGAAUUCCAUGUGUAGCGAGGAAAUGCGCAGAGAUAUGGAGGAACACCAGUGGCGAAGGCGACUUUCUGGUCUGUAACUGACGCUGAUGUGCGAAAGCGUGGGGAUCAAACAGG